rnacentral:rRNA from 1 species
AGCCCGCUCUAGCCCAACCCCUAGAAACCAUAAACAUACUCUAAGACUCACUCAACCCUUAAACUAAAACAUUCUUCAAACUUAGUAUAGGCGAUAGAAAAGGUAAUAAGGCGCGAUAGAGACCUGUACCGUAAGGGAAAGAUGAAAUAAUAAUGAAUAAGCCAAGCAAAAAACAGCAAAGAUAAACCCUUGUACCUCUUGCAUCAUGAUUUAGCAAGAACAACCAAGCAAAGCGAACUUAAGCUUGCCACCCCGAAACCCAAGCGAGCUACUUGCAAGCAGCUAACCAUGAGCGAACCCGUCUCUGUUGCAAAAGAGUGGGAUGACUUGCUAGUAGAGGUGAAAAGCCAACCGAGCUGGGUGAUAGCUGGUUACCUGUGAAAUGAAUAUAAGUUCCACCUUGACACCUCCACAAGGACCCAAAACAACCCCAAUGAAGACAGUCAAGAGUAAUUUAAAGGAGGUACAGCUCCUUUAACAAAGAACACAACCUCCCCUAGCGGAUAACACCAGCUCUGCCAGCAAUAACUGUGGGCCCUAAAGCAGCCACCAGCAAAGAGUGCGUCAAAGCUCCCCCCUCAAAAAAUCCUAAAACUACACGACUCCCUUCCCACUAACAGGUUAGCCUAUAAUAAUAGGGGAAUUAAUACUAAAAUGAGUAACUAGGACCCCCUCCUCUUAAGCGCAAGCUUACAUCCCCCAUAUUAUUAACAGAACCGAUACCCCAACUCCAACAAGACCGCGUAUUCCACCCUCUGUUAACCCAACCCAGGAGCGCACACUAGAAAGAUUAAAAUCUGUAAAAGGAACUAGGCAAACUAAGGCCCGACUGUUUACCAAAAACAUAGCCUUCAGCCAAACCAAGUAUUGAAGGUGAUGCCUGCCCAGUGACUCUGUUCAACGGCCGCGGUAUCCUAACCGUGCGAAGGUAGCGCAAUCAAUUGUCCCAUAAAUCGAGACUUGUAUGAAUGGCUAAACGAGGUCUUAACUGUCUCUUACAGAUAAUCAGUGAAAUUGAUCUCCCUGUGCAAAAGCAGGAAUGUACACAUAAGACGAGAAGACCCUGUGGAACUUAAAAAUCAGCGGCCACCCCACAACAAAACUCAACCCACUAGGUCCACCACUAGUAAGAUGUUGGCUCGCAUUUUUCGGUUGGGGCGACCUUGGAGAAAAGUAAAUCCUCCAAAAAUAAGACCACUCCCUCUUAACUCAGAGCAACCCCUCAACGUACUAACAGUAACCAGACCCAAUACAAUUGACCAAUGGACCAAGCUACCCCAGGGAUAACAGCGCAAUCUCCUUCAAGAGCCCAUAUCGACGAGGAGGUUUACGACCUCGAUGUUGGAUCAGGACAUCCUAAUGGUGCAGCCGCUAUUAAGGGUUCGUUUGUUCAACGAUUAACAGUCCUACGUGAUCUGAGUUCAGACCGGAGUAAUCCAGGUCGGUUUCUAUCUAUGAUGAACUUUUCCUAGUACGAAAGGACCGGAAAAGUAAGGCCAAUGCUACAAUGCACGCCCCCUCUCUAAGUAAUGACCUCAACUAAACUACCAAGAGACCCCCCCCCCCACAACAUCAAUCCUAGAAAAGGACC